rnacentral:ncRNA from 1 species
AGGGAAAGCCGGUCGAAGUCCGGCGCUGACCCGCAACCGUAGGCCCGGCGGCAGCCGGGUGAGCCGGAAUGCCU